rnacentral:rRNA from 1 species
GAUGAACGCUGGCGGCGUGCUUAACACAUGCAAGUCGAACGGAAAGGCCCCUGCUUGCAGGGGUACUCGAGUGGCGCACGGGUGAGUAACACGUGGGUGAUCUGCCCUGCACUUCGGGAUAAGCCUGGGAAACUGGGUCUACUACCGGUUAGGCCGAUGGUUUGGAUGCCAUUGUGGAAAGUUUUUCGGUGUGGGUUGAGCUGGCGGCCUAUCAGCUUGUUGGUGGGGUGAUGGCGUACCAGGGCGUCGACGGGUAGCCGGCCUGCGAGGGUGUACGGGCGCAUUGGGACAGAGAUACGGCCGAGGCAGCGACGGGAGGCAGUAGUGGGGAAGAGUGCACAAGGGGCGCAGGCGUGGUGCGGCGGCUCCGCGUGGGGGAUGAGUGCCUUCGUGUUGAAAACGCCUUUCGCAAGGGACUAGGCGUUUUGUGACGGUACCGGGAGAAGAAGCACCGGCUAACUACGUG